rnacentral:rRNA from 1 species
AGCGAACGUUAGCGGCGGGCCUAACACAUGCAAGUCGAACGCGAAAGGUCUUCGGACUGAGUAGAGUGGCGCACGGGUGAGUAACACGUAGGUAAUCUACCCUUUGGCGGGGGAUAACGUUCCGAAAGGAGCGCUAAUACCGCAUAAGACCACGGAGUCUCCGGACGCUGUGGGAAAAGGUGGCCUCUUCUUGAAAGCUACCACCGAAGGAUGAGCCUGCGUCCCAUCAGCUAGUUGGUAAGGUAAUGGCUUACCAAGGCGAAGACGGGUAACUGGUUUGAGAGAAUGAUCAGCCACACUGGCACUGGAACACGGGCCAGACUCCUACGGGAGGCAGCAGUGAGGAAUAUUGGGCAAUGGGCGAAAGCCUGACCCAGCCACGCCGCGUGAGUGAUGAAGGCCCUCGGGUCGUAAAGCUCUGUGGAGAGGGACGAAAACCCUGGUUUCAAAUAGGCUCCAGGCUUGACGGUACCUCUUUAGCAAGCACCGGCUAACUCUGUGCCAGCAGCCG